rnacentral:rRNA from 1 species
UACGUAGGGUGCGAGCGUUGUCCGGAUUUACUGGGCGUAAAGGGCUCGUAGGCGGCCAACUAAGUCACACGUGAAAUCCCCAGGCUUAACCUGGGAACUGCGUGUGAUACUGGAUGGCUUGAAUUCGGGAGAGGGAUGCAGAAUUCCAGGUGUAGCGGUGAAAUGCGUAGAUAUCUGGAGGAAUACCGGUGGCGAAGGCGGCAUCCUGGACCGACAUUGACGCUGAGGAGCGAAAGCUAGGGGAGCAAACGGG